CCUACGGGUGGCAGCAGUGGGGAAUAUUGCACAAUGGGGGAAACCCUGAUGCAGCGACGCCGCGUGAGUGAUGAAGUAUUUCGGUUUGUAAAGCUCUAUCAGCAGGGAAGAAAAUGACGGUAUCUGAUUAAGAAGCCCCGGCUAACUACGUGCCAGCAGCCGCGGUAAUACGUAGGGUGCAAGCGUUACCCGGAUUUACUGGGUGUAAAGAGCGCGUAGACGGCAGCGCAAGUCUGAAGUGAAAUGCCGGGGCUUAACCCCGGAACUGCGUUGGAAACUGUGCAGCUAGAGUGCAGGAGAGGUAAGUGGAAUUCUUGGUGUAGGGGUGAAAUGCGUAGAGAUCAGGAGGAAUACUCGUGGCGAAGGCGGCUUACUGGAACGUAACUGACGUUGAUGCUCGAAAGCGUGGGGAGCAAACAGGAUUAGAUACCCGAGUAGUC
rnacentral:rRNA from 1 species